CAAUAAGCGGAGGAAAAGAAACCAACAGGGAUUGCCCUAGUAACGGCGAGUGAAGCGGCAACAGCUCAGAUUUGGAAUCUGGCUCCCCCGGGGGCCCGAGUUGUAAUCUGGAGAGGGAGCCUCUGGCGCGGCGCCCGGCGAGUCCCCUGGAACGGGGCGCCGGAGAGGGUGAGAGCCCCGUACGGCGGGCCGCCGUGCCUCUGCGAGGCCCCUUCGACGAGUCGAGUAGUUUGGGAAUGCUGCUCCAAGCGGGAGGUAAAUUUCUUCUAAAGCUAAAUACCGGCCAGAGACCGAUAGCGCACAAGUAGAGUGAUCGAAAGAUGAAAAGCACUUUGAAAAGAGGGUCAAACAGUACGUGAAAUUGUUGAAAGGGAAGCGCCCGUGGCCAGACUCGCGCCCUGCGGACCACCCGGCGGACCCCGCCGGGGCGCUCCGCGGGGCGCGGGCCAGCAUCGGCCGCUGCGGGGGGACAAGGACGGCGGGAACGUGGCCCCUCCGGGGGUGUUACAGCCCGCCGCGCCAUGCCCCCGCGGCGGCCGAGG
rnacentral:rRNA from 1 species